GACGUAGGGCGCGAGCGUUGUCCGGAUUUAUUGGGCGUAAAGAGCUCGUAGGCGGCUUGUCGCGUCGUCUGUGAAAUCCCGCGGCUCAACUGCGGGCUGGCAGUCGAUACGGGCAGGCUGGAGUUCGGUAGGGGAGACUGGAAUUCCUGGUGUAGCGGUGAAAUGCGCAGAUAUCAGGAGGAACACCGGUGGCGAAGGCGGGUCUCUGGGCCACUACUGACGCUGAGAAGCGAAAGCAUGGGGAGCGAACAGG
rnacentral:rRNA from 1 species